GUCGUAACAAGGUAUCCCUACCGGAAGGCGGGGAUGGAUCACCUCCUUUCUAAGGAAAUAAUUUUUUAAAUAUUCAUCUUCAGUUUUGAAAGACUUAGUUCUUAUAAGUUUUUCUUUUUUAAGGAAAAGAAAAUGGGCCUAUAGCUCAGUUGGUUAGAGCACACGCCCUGAUAAGCGUGAGGUCGAUGGUUCAAGUCCAUUUAGGCCCAC
rnacentral:tRNA from 1 species